CUCAAGAUGAGUGAGAGAGAUAUAUGAUACCAAGAGUUUUGUCAGAUUCAGCCAACGAUGAAAAUUCAAAGGGGGAAAUGCAUUCUGUGUUUGUGCCACUAAUCCUAUCUGACCAGAAAGCAGGUGAAAGAUGGUACAUGGCAUAUUCUGGCUACAGAUCAGAGAUACAUCCAAUGCCCAAUCUGAAUAGAGCCGAUCCAUAUGCAUGUGUGAGUUAAGAUGAAGAAAAGCAAAUGACUAAUUGAUGGGAGCACCUCUACCUGAAACUAUGAAAAGUAUGUAUCAUGUCUGCUAGAAUGGUGAGAGUAGCGAGGUGUAUUGUGGAUCUUCACUGUAAGCAGCAGUGAGCAGGCUGUAGCUGAGCAGGGGUGGGACUGGGACAUCAGGCCAAAAUGGUGCACAGUGCCUGCCUGCACAUGCCAUUGAUUGAGAUCCCCUGUUUAAGGAGGAGUGAUCAAGUGUUUUGGAUGGCUAAUAGCAUCAUGGGUAUUUUUCAAACAAAACAAGCUUAGAAAUAGUAUACAAAAAGUCUUUUUUUUUUUUUUUUUAAUGUACUUUAGAGCUUGGGUACAAAAUCCUCUCAUUUGACUACUUUUUUUGUUUUCUUUCUCCAGGUACUCUUGGACUACAUAGCCUUUAGUCCGGCGUUGAUACAGAUAAGCAGACUUGUUAGGGAUUUUUGGGUAGACGUGCAGCUUGAAAUGUCUAGGAUGUUCAGUUCAGGUGCACAGUCAGUUUGGUAUGAAGACAGUUCUCAUUUCUGAUCCUCACUUAUGUCGUGCUGCAAAGCAACCAGGGUGGAACCUUUGUGCAGACAGGGGAAUGUUCCACUUGUUGUUCCUCCCAGGGAAUGUUUGGAAAAUGGAAUCUACCUACUUUAUGGCUGCUGGUGUGAAUUUAACCCAGCUCCAGUGAUGCAGCUGCGUUGUUGUAUAGUCCUUUGAAAGCCUCUCAGUGGAGUCAUGGCAAAUGUCUGAACACUGUAUGUCCCAUGCAGGUUAUGAACACGCAGUUGUCCAAUGCAGCAUCUGUACAGCACCUUCAAUAGCUAUUUGUGUAACCUAAAGUCCUGAUCUUCACACACCAUAAGAUAAUUAUAGGUAAGAGUUUACAUUCCACGCAAGAUAUUUGGAGUUGAACCUUGUAUGAUCUGAUUUUAAUACCCACUUCCCUUUUUUUUUUUUUUUUUUUUUUUUUCUGUAGAAUGUACCUGGACACCACACAUCUUGGUUGUGCAGCCCUACAUUUGAGAAUGCCUGAAAGGAGACUGUAUUUCAGAGAUGAGGAGCAGAGCCGUCAGCAAGAGGAUCUCCUGUUCCGCACAGCUGGGGAAAGAAGGAAGCAAGUCACCAAGUCCUGGUGUAAAUUUCUGAACAAAUGCUUCAGAGAAGGUAAAUUGAGCUCAACAAAACAUUAGAUUAGGCUCAUUAGUAAUUAAAAACAACAACAACUGCAGUCUAAUGAAAAAUACUGGAGAUCUGUAAAACUUUGGCAUUAAAAUGUAUAGAUGCUGACCCUCUUUAUAUUCAUAGAGAAUGCUCUUUACUUAGCUAUAAAGGUUUAAUGUAACUUAGCAGAUCUGAGUUACUUCAGGAGAGCUUUAAUGCUUGGCAGGUCUCUACAUUUUAUUUAUGAUAUCAAAGCUGCAACUCAGAUUUUUACUCAGUGGAAGACAUAAAAGAGAUUC
ensembl:lncRNA